rnacentral:rRNA from 1 species
GAUAAACGCUGGCGGCGUGCUUUAUGCAUGCAAGUCGAACGGUCUUACUUCGGUAAGAUAGUGGCGAACGGGUGAGUAACGCGUAAGUAACCUGCCUCUAAGUGGAGGAUAACCCCGGGAAACCGGGGCCAAUACUGCAGUGGUGAUGAAGCUCAAGCUCUAUCACUAAAGCCUUCGGGUGCUUGGAGAGGGGCUUGCGUCCGAUUAGCUAGUUGGUAGGGUAAAGGCCUACCAAGGCGAUGAUCGGUAGCUGGCUUGAGAGGGCGGUCAGCCACAUUGGGACUGAGACACGGCCCAGACUCCUACGGGAGGCAGCAGCAAGGAAUUUUGUGCAAUGGGCGAAAGCCUGACACAGCGACGUCGCGUGGGGGAUGAAGGCCUUCGGGUUGUAAACCCCUUUUCUCAGAGAAGAAAAAUGACGGUACCUGAGGAAUAAGUCUUGGCUAACUACGUGCCAGCAGCCGCGGUAAUACGUAGAAGGCGAGCGUUAUCCGGAUUUACAGGGCGUAAAGAGGGCGUAGGUGGUUUUUCAAGUCGGAUGUAAAAUCUCCCGGCUUAACUGGGAGGGACCAUUCGAUACUGUUAAACUAGAGGGCAGCAGAGGGAGGUGGAAUUCCCGGUGUAGUGGUGAAAUGCGUAGAUAUCGGGAGGAACACCAGUGGCGAAGGCGGCCUCCUGGGCUGUUGCUGACACUGAGGCCCAAAAGCGUGGGGAGCGAACAGGAUUAGAUACCCUGGUAGUCCACGCCGUAAACGAUGGACACUAGGUAUGGGGAGUAUCGACCCUCUCCGUGCCGAAGCUAACGCUUUAAGUGUCCCGCCUGGGGACACGGCCGCAAGGCU